rnacentral:rRNA from 1 species
UGGGGAAUAUUGGACAAUGGGCGAAAGCCUGAUCCAGCCAUGCCGCGUGUGUGAAGAAGGUCUUCGGAUUGUAAAGCACUUUAAGUUGGGAGGAAGGGCAGUAACUUAAUACGUUGCCGUCUUGACGUUACCGACAGAAUAAGCACCGGCUAACUCUGUGCCAGCAGCCGCGGUAAUACAGAGGGUGCAAGCGUUAAUCGGAAUUACUGGGCGUAAAGCGCGCGUAGGUGGUUUGUUAAGUUGGAUGUGAAAGCCCCGGGCUCAACCUGGGAACUGCAUUCAAAACUGACAAGCUAGAGUAUGGUAGAGGGUGGUGGAAUUUCCUGUGUAGCGGUGAAAUGCGUAGAUAUAGGAAGGAACACCAGUGGCGAAGGCGACCACCUGGACUGAUACUGACACUGAGGUGCGAAAGCGUGGGGAGCAAACAGGAUUAGAUACCCGUGUAGUCCCUGAGCGGGCUGGCAAGGCGCAU